CGGGGGCAACCCUGGUGGCGAGUGGCGAACGGGUGAGUAAUACAUCGGAACGUAUCUUUAAGUGGGGGAUAACGCACCGAAAGGUGUGCUAAUACCGCAUAAUCUCUGAGGAGAAAAGCAGGGGAUCGCAAGACCUUGCGCUUUUGGAGCGGCCGAUGUCUGAUUAGCUAGUUGGUGAGGUAAAGGCUUACCAAGGCGUCGAUCAGUAGCUGGUCUGAGAGGACGACCAGCCACACUGGGACUGAGACACGGCCCAGACUCCUACGGGAGGCAGCAGUGGGGAAUUUUGGACAAUGGGGGAAACCCUGAUCCAGCCAUGCCGCGUGAGUGAAGAAGGCCUUCGGGUUGUAAAGCUCUUUCAGCCGGAACGAAACGGUCACGGCUAAUACCUGUGACUACUGACGGUACCGGAAGAAGAAGCACCGGCUAACUACGUGCCAGCAGCCGCGGUAAUACGUAGGGUGCGAGCGUUAAUCGGAAUUACUGGGCGUAAAGCGUGCGCAGGCGGUUUUGUAAGUCAGAUGUGAAAUCCCCGGGCUUAACCUGGGAACUGCGUUUGAAACUACAAGGCUAGAGUGUGGCAGAGGGGGGUGGAAUUCCACGUGUAGCAGUGAAAUGCGUAGAGAUGUGGAGGAACACCGAUGGCGAAGGCAGCCCCCUGGGUUAACACUGACGCUCAGGCACGAAAGCGU
rnacentral:rRNA from 1 species